rnacentral:rRNA from 1 species
GAUGAACGCUGGCGGCAGGUCUUAGGCAUGCAAGUCGAACGGGUGAAACAGGUGCUUGCACUUGUGGAUCUAGUGGCGCACGAGUGAGUAACGCGUGGGAAACUGCCCACUACUGGGGAAUAACGUUUGGAAACGAACGCUAAUACCGCAUACGCCGGAAACGGGAAAGAUUUAUCGGUGGUGGAUGUGCCCGCGUUGGAUUAGCUUGUUGGUGGGGUAACGGCCUACCAAGGCGAUGAUUGGUAGCCGACCUGAGAGGGUGAUCGGCCACAUUGGGACUGAGACACGGCCCAAACUCCUACGGGAGGCAGCAGUGGGGAAUAUUGGGCAAUGGGGGGAACCCUGACCCAGCAACGCCGCGUGGAGGAAGAAGGUUUUCGGAUCGUAAACUCCUGUCCUCAGGGAAGAGCAGAAGACGGUACCUGAGGAGGAAGCCCCGGCUAACUACGUG